rnacentral:rRNA from 1 species
GUAGGGUGCAAGCGUUAAUCGGAAUUACUGGGCGUAAAGCGUGCGCAGGCGGUCCGUUAAGACAGAUGUGAAAUCCCCGGGCUUAACCUGGGAACUGCAUUUGUGACUGGCGGACUCGAGUAUGGCAUAGGGGGGUAGAAUUCCACGUGUAGCAGUGAAAUGCGUAGAGAUGUGGAGGAAUACCGAUGGCGAAGGCAGCCCCCUGGGCCAAUACUGACGCUCAUGCACGAAAGCGUGGGGAGCAAACAGGAUUAGAUACCCUGGUAGUCCACGCCCUAAACGAUGUCAACUGGUUGUCGGGCCUUCAUUGGCUUGGUAACGAAGCUAACGCGUGAAGUUGACCGCCUGGGGAGUACGGUCGCAAGAUUA